rnacentral:rRNA from 1 species
ACCCGCUGAACUUAAGCAUAUCAAUAAGCGGAGGAAAAGAAACCAACAGGGAUUGCCCUAGUAACGGCGAGUGAAGCGGCAACAGCUCAAAUUUGAAAUCUGGCCCUUUCAGGGUCCGAGUUGUAAUUUGCAGAGGGUGCUUUGGCGUCGGUUGUGGUCUAAGUUCCUUGGAACAGGACGUCACAGAGGGUGAGAAUCCCGUACGUGGCCGCCAACCUUCACCGUGUAAAGCCCCUUCGACGAGUCGAGUUGUUUGGGAAUGCAGCUCUAAAUGGGAGGUAAAUUCCUUCUAAAGCUAAAUACUGGCCAGAGACCGAUAGCGCACAAGUAGAGUGAUCGAAAGAUGAAAAGCACUUUGGAAAGAGAGUCAAAAAGCACGUGAAAUUGUUGAAAGGGAAGCGCUUGCAGCCAGACUUGCCUGUAGUUGCUCAUCCGGGUUUUUACCCGGUGCACUCUUCUAUAGGCAGGCCAGCAUCAGUUUGGGCGGUUGGAUAAAGGUCUCUGUCAUGUACCUCUCUUCGGGGAGAACUUAUAGGGGAGACGACAUGCAACCAGCCCGGACUGAGGUCCGCGCAUCUGCUAGGAUGCUGGCGUAAUGGCUGU